UAUUGAAAGUAGGUAACGUUUUCGGCACUUUUUCCGGGGGGUAGCAGCAGAGCUACCUUGAUGAGUUUCUUGUCAAUUCGUAACUCAUUAUGCAAGUAGUCAGCCAGAUAUCGGCUGAAAUGUCUUUACCAACAUUGGACACCACCACGCUCCUUAGAGAUAGGUCAUUGGACGCAUUCGAUGCAAUUAAACGUUGGGGAUCAACACUGGAUCUAAUGGCUGAUUGUUCAGUGGAGAACGAGUUUCAUCAACGUCUUUUACAGAAGACGCUUUCGGCUUGGCAUGUGACUUGACUAUGGCCUAUGGGUGAAGAAUUCACAGCAAUCGGGUGCUGUAUCAUGCUCAAUGUACUAAUCGCUCCGAUAAACGUAUCCAUCAGCGUCUUAAAGUUGUUGAUGAAUUUCGACAAGUCGCCAGACAACGAACUUGACAAAGCUCCAAUCGCUUCAUUCAUACGAUCAAUUGAUGCAGCUACACCUCUGUGUUUCCAGCAUUGCAUUCGUUGCAAAACCAGUGAAUAUU